rnacentral:rRNA from 1 species
CAGUCGCCGCGGGAAUACGAAGGGUGCAAGCGUUAAUCGGAAUUACUGGGCGUAAAGCGUGCGUAGGCGGUGAGUUAAGUCUGUUGUGAAAUCCCCGGGCUCAACCUGGGAAUGGCAAUGGAUACUGGCAAGCUAGAGUGUGUCAGAGGAUGGUGGAAUUCCCGGUGUAGCGGUGAAAUGCGUAGAGAUCGGGAGGAACAUCAGUGGCGAAGGCGGCCAUCUGGGACAACACUGACGCUGAGGCACGAAAGCGUGGGGAGCAAACAGGAUUAGAUACCCGCGUAGUCCCUGUCUCUUAUAC